GGCUCGGUAGCGCUGGGAGCGCGUCUGCCUCUGCCGCAGCGCCCACCAUCUUGUAAUGCAGAAGGUGCCCGUUCGACUCGGGCCUGAGCCU